GUCUUUCGCCUUGUCAUAGUUCAGCACUUUCCACUGCUGGUUGACAGCCUGCCACCGUUUAAAGAUGCGGUACACGGAGGGUCCCUCGUGGAUGAUGAGACCUGAGGCCGCAGGGAGAAGAGAAAGACAAAGGCAAGCUUAGCGAGUCUUUGGCUGCCUCGCCAAGUGCAUGAAACAGCUGGGCACCUACCUGCAGCGCCUUUGCCUGCCUUGGCUCCGCCCCUCCUGCUCCUUGGCCCCGCCCCUCCUGCUCCUUGGCCUGACAAAGUCCAAAUUCAUUGUCCACUGAGGCAUAAUAAAGUUCAUUCUGGCUCCUGGGAAACAACAGACUGAAGAGGGACAAGGGUAGGACCAGAAGACCAAGCAGGAAGUGAGGUAGUGAUUGAAGCUGGAAAUGAUGGUGGCCGAGAUGAGGAUGAGCACGGUGGAGACGGUGAGAAACCGCUGGAGUCAGGAGAUGUGACAGACAAGAAAAACUAAGGCAGUUGAAGAAAUGGGUGCUUCCUCUCCUAGACGCAAAGACAGUUUAGAGUCAAAUCACUGAGGAACAUGUACUGAACAUUCAGACACCUGCCACUUACUGGCCUUGUAGCCUGUGCCACAGGCACCUGGUCUUCUGUCUUCCAACUGUCCUUCCCAAUCCUCAGCCUGAGUCAUUGUUCAUAGAUGAACAUGCUAGAACUGAAAGGAGCUCUGAAGACCAACUGAUUCUACACUUGUGGAGGUGAGACUUCAUACCUGUGUCUCCUCUCCCACCACCGAGAACCUUCAGUGGUGCCAAGGAUGCUCCCCUCCUGCUGCGAAUUACCUGUUGUCAGACAGCUGUGGGGCAAGACUUACCCCUGAAGCCCCACCGUUGCCAAGUACUCAUCUUCCAGAUGCUACCCCUCAAGGGUCCAGAACUGGCACUUAAGUGUUAACUGGGUAGGUGUGGGAAAGAAAUCAAUAUAACCAGCUAGUUUGGGUGGGCCCAGCAGGAGCUACUGGGAGAUGCCACCACCUGCCCAAUAUUCUCCAGGGGUACAGCUCUGUGUUUCUCACAAGCGUAGCCACGCUGUACCUCUGGGGGCCUCCCUGAGGUGGUGAGAUGUGGAUCCAGGGGCUUCACGUGGGCAGGCUUACCUUGACUCAAAAGGUUCAAGUUUUAGUUCUUCAGGUGACCCCAUAAUAAAGACUCAAAAGGCUGAGAGCCUUCAAUGAGGGUGAACGCAAAGCCACCUUCCCCUUCUGUUUCCAUCCCAUCCAUGCCUUAUCAAUGGCCAGGGAGAGGGUGUCCCCUGGGAGGUGACUUCUGAAAGCACUCCCUUCCUAGCAGGACCCCUGCUGGGCCAGUUGACCUUGUUCGAGCUAUACAGAGUGUUUCUCAGUGCAUCAGAGCCAGAACCA